AACGAACGCUGGCGGUAUGCUUAACACAUGCAAGUCGAACGAGAAAGCUUCUUCGGAAGUAAGUAGAGUGGCGCACGGGUGAGUAACACGUAGAUAACCUGCCCUUCAGCCUGGGACAACCCUUCGAAAGGAGGGCUAAUACCGGAUAAUACAUAGAAUCGAGUGUUUUUAUGUUGAAAGAUUUAUCACUGAGGGAUGGGUCUGCGUACCAUUAGCUAGUUGGUGGGGUAAAGGCCUACCAAGGCUUCGAUGGUUAGCGGGUCUGAGAGGAUGAUCCGCCACACUGGAACUGAGACACGGUCCAG
rnacentral:rRNA from 1 species